rnacentral:rRNA from 1 species
AGAUUAAGUUAUUAAGGGCGCACGGUGGAUGCCUUGGCACUAGAAGCCGAUGAAGGACGUUACUAACGACGAUAUGCUUUGGGGAGCUGUAAGUAAGCUUUGAUCCAGAGAUUUCCGAAUGGGGAAACCCAGCAUGAGUUAUGUCAUGUUAUCGAUAUGUGAAUACAUAGCAUAUCAGAAGGCACACCCGGAGAACUGAAACAUCUUAGUACCCGGAGGAAGAGAAAGAAAAUUCGAUCCCCUUAGUAGCGGCGAGCGAAACGGGAAGAGCCCAAACCAACAAGCUUGCUUGUUGGGGUUGUAGGACACUCUAUACGGAGUUACAAAGGACGACAUUAGACGAAUCAUCUGGAAAGAUGAAUCAAAGAAGGUAAUAAUCCUGUAGUCGAAAAUGUUGUCUCUCUUGAGUGGAUCCUGAGUACGACGGAGCACGUGAAAUUC